CUUUUUCUUGGUGGAGGUGGGUGGAAGUGGGUAUUGGGUGUCAGAUCCCGGUCCCCUUUAUGUAGGAGAGCAGAGGGUAAGGGCUCUGGUUGCCUCGGUAUCAUGUCAUCAGAGGCUUCCACUCUGGUGGUUCUAUCUUCAAGUGCAGGGACAAGG